rnacentral:rRNA from 1 species
AGUGAACGCUGGCGGUAGGCCUAACACAUGCAAGUCGAACGGCAGCACAGUAAGAGCUUGCUCUUACGGGUGGCGAGUGGCGGACGGGUGAGGAAUACAUCGGAAUCUACUUUUUCGUGGGGGAUAACGUAGGGAAACUUACGCUAAUACCGCAUACGACCUACGGGUGAAAGCAGGGGAUCUUCGGACCUUGCGCGAUUGAAUGAGCCGAUGUCGGUUUAGCUAGUUGGCGGGGUAAAGGCCCACCAAGGCGACGAUCCGUAGCUGGUCUGAGAGGAUGAUCAGCCACACUGGAACUGAGCCACGGUCCAGGCUCCUACGGGAGGCACCAGUCGGGAAUAUUGGACAAUGGUCGCAAGCCUGGUCCAGCCAUACCGCGUGGGUGAAGAAGGCCUUCGGGUUGUAAAGCCCUUUUGUUGGGAAAGAAAAGCAGCAGGUUAAUACCCCGCUGUUCUGACGGUACCCAAAGAAUAAGCACCGGCUAACUUCGUG